rnacentral:rRNA from 1 species
GUGGGGAAUCUUGCGCAAUGGCCGAAAGGCUGACGCAGCGACGCCGCGUGGAGGAUGACGCCCUUCGGGGUGUAAACUCCUGUUGCCCGGGACGAAUGCCUGUUUCGACAGGAGUGACGGUACCGGGUGAGGAAGCACCGGCUAACUCUGUGCCAGCAGCCGCGGUAAUACAGAGGGUGCGAGCGUUGUCCGGAAUCACUGGGCGUAAAGGGCGCGUAGGCGGUCGGGUAAGCGUGUGGUGAAAGUCCGGGGCUCAACCCCGGAUCGGCCAUGCGAACUGUCCGACUGGAGCACGGUAGAGGCACAUGGAAUUCCGGGUGUAGCGGUGGAAUGCGUAGAGAUCCGGAAGAACACCGGUGGCGAAGGCGGUGUGCUGGGCCGUAGCUGACGCUGAGGCGCGACAGCGUGGGGAGCAAACAGGAUUAGAAACCCCAGUAGUCC